rnacentral:lncRNA from 1 species
GUAUUUGAAUUUGUGGCGCUUGGUGUCCGCGAGUUGCCGAAUGAAGCUGAGCGUCUCAGUGGAACCAGGGAUCUCAGGGAGGGGAAGGUAUAAAAUUUUCAAAUGGAGGAGUAUACCUGAACCUAAUCAUGGAUGUGAUUUUAUGUAAGUAAUAUGUGAGAUACAGAUAAGCUGAUUCUAAAACUUACAAGAAUGGCAAAGAAACAAGAAGAGCUUAAACUGCAAUCAUCAACAGAGAAGCUUUCUGCAACCAAAGUGAAGACUGAAGCCUUAGGCUAUGGCAGAAGUUGGGCGCCUGAAGUACACGUGGAAAUAUGCCAACUGAACAUUGGACUACCACGUCAAGGGUCUCCUACCCCUGGGCCAUGGAUCAAUACCAGUCUGUGACCUGUUAGGAACCGGUAGCAGGAGGAAAUAAAUAAAUUUUUUUUCUGUAUCAGAGUGCAA